UUCUGUGUAUGGCACUGGUAGAAUUCACUGUCAGAGCACACAAUCAGUGAAUUACCAUAGGGCCAUAAACAGAG
rfam:Xiphophorus maculatus strain JP 163 A Contig320.4, whole genome shotgun sequence.